rnacentral:rRNA from 1 species
UACGGGGGGGGCAAGCGUUGUUCGGAAUUACUGGGCGUAAAGGGUCUGUAGGCGGCCAACUAAGUCGGAUGUGAAAUCCCCAGGCUUAACCUGGGAACUGCAUCCGAUACUGGAUGGCUUGAAUCCGGGAGAGGGAUGCAGAAUUCCAGGUGUAGCGGUGAAAUGCGUAGAUAUCUGGAGGAAUACCGGUGGCGAAGGCGGCAUCCUGGACCGGCAUUGACGCUGAGUGAGCGAAAGCCAGGGGAGCAAACGGG